AACGAACGCUGGCGGCAUGCCUAACACAUGCAAGUCGAACGAGACCUUCGGGUCUAGUGGCGCACGGGUGCGUAACGCGUGGGAAUCUGCCCUUGGGUUUGGAAUACCAGUUGGAAACGACUGCUAAUACCGGAUGAUGACGUAUGCCCAAAGAUUUAUCGCCCCAGGAUGAGCCCGCGUAGGAUUAGCUCGUUGGUGAGGUAAAGGCUCACCAAGGCGACGAUCCUUAGCUGGUAUGAGAGGAUGAUCAGCCACACUGCGACUGAGACACGGCCCAGACUCCUACGGGAGGCAGCAGUGGGGAAGAUUGGACAAUGGGCGAAAGACUGAUCCAGCAAUGCCGCGGGAGUGAUGAAGGCGUUAGGGUUGUAAAGCUCUUUUACCCGGGAUGAUAAUGAGAGUACCGGGAGAAUAAGCUCCGGCUAACUCCGU
rnacentral:rRNA from 1 species